rnacentral:lncRNA from 1 species
AAGAACCUCCUGAUGCCCAGAGUCUGCCUUGCUCAUCGGCAGAGCUUAAAGGAUAGGAAUAAACCAGAAGUUUUCAAAGUAUGGCCCAAGAACCUCUGGAGGUCCCCGACACCUUCAAGGAGUCUGGUAGGUCAAAACUAUUUUCACAAUAAUACUAAGAUGUUAUUUGUUUAUUAAAAAAACCAACAACUGCUCCCUUUUCUAACUAUGUAUCUGUGUGAGGCUGGAUUUUCUUCACACACUUCAACCAAAAUAACCGAAAUGAUAUCAGAACAGAUUGAAUGCAGAAGCAGAUAUGAAAAUCCAG